rnacentral:rRNA from 1 species
AAUAUUGCACAAUGGAGGAAACUCUGAUGCAGCGACGCCGCGUGAACGAUGAAGGCCUUCGGGUCGUAAAGUUCUGUCCUAGGGGACGAUAAUGACGGUGCCCGAGGAGGAAGCCGCGGCGAACUACUUGCCAGCAGCCGCGGUAAUACGUAGGGGGCAAGCGUUGUCCGGAUUUAUUGGGCGUAAAGGGUGCGCAGGCGGCCUUUUAAGUCAGGUGUGAAAGAUCACGGCUCAACCGUGGUAAGCACUUGAAACUGGAAGGCUUGAGUUAAGGAGAGGAAAGUGGAAUUCCUAGUGUAGCGGUGCAAUGCGUAGAUAUUAGGAGGAAUACCAGUGGCGAAGGCGACUUUCUGGACUUAUACUGACGCUGAGGCACGAAAGCGUGGGGAGCGAACA